rnacentral:rRNA from 1 species
GCCAGUGACCAUAGAGAAGAGGAAACACCCGUUCCCAUUCCGAACACGGCAGUUAAGCUCUUCAUCUCCGAUGAUAGUAUGCGGGCAGCUGUAUGCGAAAGUAGGACGUUGCUGGCU